rnacentral:rRNA from 1 species
UACAGAGGUCUCAAGCGUUGUUCGGAUUCAUUGGGCGUAAAGGGUGCGUAGGUGGCGCUGUAAGUCGGGUGUGAAAUCUUGGAGCUUAACUCCGAAACUGCAUUCGAUACUGCCGUGCUUGAGGACUGGAGAGGAGACUGGAAUUUACGGUGUAGCGGUGAAAUGCGUAGAUAUCGUAAGGAAGACCAGUGGCGAAGGCGGGUCUCUGGACAGUUCCUGACGCUGAGGCACGAAGGCCAGGGGAGCAAACGGG